GCCAUGAAGAAUCUUUGGAGUCAAAUUCAGAUGUUGACAGCAGCUGUGGAGCUGAAUAAACUUGUAAUCAUUGAAGAACACCUUGUACAUUGCUUGACUUGUUGCCAAUUGAAAACUUAAUAGAAACCUACUGAAUCAAUACACAGGCAACUUGCUGCUGCCAAGUCAAAGAGAAAGAAACACUUUGAGUUCAAGCAAUGUAACCUGCUCUGACCUGUUGGAUUAGAGCUGAAUAAAGGAGCUUGAAGAAUCAAUUUACCUGCUCACCUGCUAAUUGAAGUACUUGUAGGAUUAAUUAGUGGUAGUUUAGUUGAACCAAGUGUAAUCAUUGAUUUCUUACCUGUUGCAAACUGUUUUCCAAUUUUCAAAUAUUUGUGUCAGCCUAUAUAAGGCUUAUUUUCUGG
rnacentral:lncRNA from 1 species